UUUGCUCUUUGCCCUCACCUGCUUUUACACUCCAACGGAUUUUGGUGGGCUUAUUAGUGUCUGCAGAAAGAAUUCUGAGGCCCCUCCCAUGUUUCCUGAGUGCUUGUUUAAACAUUUGCUCUUUGCCCUCACCUGCUUUUACAGUCCAACGGAUUUUGGCGGGCUUCUUUGUGUCUGCAGAGAGAAUUCUGAGAAAUUAACCUCAAAAUGACUGCAGUCUCGUUCUCAUUCAGCACUUCUGACACCAUGGAAUGAUCUUGGAGUUCAUUAAACAACAAACCAGUGUGUGACUAUCAUCUGAGUAGCAGUUGAAUCAGCAUUGCUGGAAACAGAAAUACAGUGAAUUUACAAGACAAUUCAUC